rfam:Lachnoclostridium sp. An76 An76_contig_6, whole genome shotgun sequence.
AAGAUAAACUCAGGAGAGUCUUUUCCCCGCAAGUAUCUGCAGGACAGGUCAUACCGGGGGAGAGCGCCGAAGGUGUAAACGGCGUCAGGAAUGGAAGGAGCAGCGGUCCGGGGCAGAGCGGGACGGCUGGGAUCUCCAUGCGGAUGCCGUGAGUCUCUCAGGCAAAAGGAUGGAGGUAUAAAG